rnacentral:lncRNA from 1 species
AAAGAAGGAUGUACGUGGUGUGGGUGACCCCACUUGCCUUUCCACUCAACGGGAGGGUCUGCCAUCCCCGAGCAUCUCUCCGGACCUCAAGGUGUAGAGAUGGCCUCUCAUGUGGGCUCCACUGGAGAAACCAAGACUACCCCAGGCCCAGCAGGAAAGCCAGUGGGCUGGAACCACAGACAGGUGGUGGCAUUGGGCUCCCCACCCCUUCCUGGAGAGUUUCCGGGGUAAUUUCACCCAUGCUUGGUUUCUGCCUUUUGCCCCGACUUUGGAAUGGCGGGAGCAGCAAACCUGGGCGUCGUGUUUGACUCAGCAAUGCUGGAGGUGCCCGUUGUCCCAGAUGGAUGGAACAGCUGGAGGGAAGCCAGCAGACCACGGAGCUGCCCCCCACCAGACCUUUCCCAGGGAGAACAAAGAAGGGAAAAGGGAGAAACACAGCUCGCUCAGAAAGCAAGUGAUUAAUUACAGGCUUAAUUUAUGAGCAAACGAGAUUCCUACACCAGGCCCGCCUGUGACUUCACGGACGUCCCGGCCCAGGGCUAACACAAGCUCAGGACGAGCCGACCUGACGUCUCAGGAGCUGCCGCGUCGCACAGUGAAUGUCAGUGCGGAGGGGAGGGUUGGGGACCUGUGAUAAGGACGGCGCCCAAGCAGGAUGAAUCUAUUCGGGGUCUGGGCCCCCAAGGCUUUCUGGUGGGACACCGAGCCCGGAGAGGCCAAGGGCUUUCCUAAGGUGAAACAGCGAGGCCUCGCAGGGAGGAAAGGAAGAGACAGCGAAGGUCGUCAGCAAGAAGAUAAAUGGGGGCAAAUGGAAGCAAUGCACAUUUGCGUGAUGCUGUCUUCUGCCACAAAUGCCGAGAGAACCGCCACAAGGGAACCACACGGGGUGGGGCGCCCGGGUGGCAGCCACACACUCUUACUCAUAUAUUGGCAGUGUUGGGACUUGGCACCAGCUGGACGGGCGCCCGUGGUGGAGGGACAGCCUGUGCCCCAGAUGCCCACGAGCAGGUCGUUGCUGGGGACAGUAGAGAUUCUCCCUUGCGAUAAAAGAAAUGUCAACGUAUCCAGCCUGGAGGGCCUUACGUGCCUAUUAAACUAACAAAAAUUAGCCGAGAAUAAUGCAACCCCGUCCUGUCAGGGCUGCAAGGAGACAGGAGCCCUGGCAGGCUCUUGGAUGUGGUCAUUAAAACCUGUUCUUGUCCUUCUAGAAAGCGAUCUAGCCCUGUGCGACGUGGUCUAUACCCUUCCAUCUGGUCUUU